rnacentral:lncRNA from 1 species
CCCAACCCACCACCCUGGCUGCUUUCCGACUACCUGCCUCUCAUCUGUUCCAGGAUCACUAAUUUGCAACAACAACUUCCAUUGUCGUCCACAUCUGGGACUCUGGGGUUUUAAGUGAAUCUCCCUAAGGCAGAGAACAGAAGAUGCUGCUAUUUUGGUUUGUCUCAUCUACAAUAGGACCAUUCUCUGGGGUUUCUGGGCAGUGCGGGGCUGCCCGGGUGAAGGGGAAAUCUGAGCAUUGACGGGACCCAGGCCAGAGCGCAGUGUGCUGAGGGAGGAGAGCAGACAGGGGUAAAAUACUGACCUUUUCUUCCCAGCUACUUGGGUUUGCAUUGCAUUUUAAUCAGUUUCAGAUGAAACUGACAAGCCAGCAGCCUCGGGAAUCCUGGUGCUCCUGUCAUUGCCCUCUGGUCUCCGGGGCAUCGGUUGGGCAGCAUCUGUCCUGGCCUGACCCAGCUUCCCCCAGAGGAGGCAGCAUGGAUGGUGGCCUUUCUGAUCCCCACAACUCAAUCGGAGCCUACUCUCUCGUCAGCACGGCCAGACAAGACAAGGCUUUAUCCCCCUGUUGGUUUUUGAGGGAUCAUGAAAAGGCUGAAGUCGGCUCUCAGGGAUCCGUCUCUGUGGGACCAUCUGCUCACCACUGCCCUCCACUGGACACCAGGCCAAAGCAGCCCGGCCCCGUCGGGGCGCUCUCAGGUUUCCUUCCCUCCCCAUGCUGGAUCCAGCUCCUGGGCAAACCGGUUUUUCUGUUGGCUUCUCUUUCACUCUAACUGUGCUGAACUGAAUUCAUGAGACCUAGGAAGGCACAGGAGAACUGGGACUUCUUUGAGUCCCGGCGUAUCGAGAGUUCCACAAAUGCUUAAUGUAUGAAAAUCAACAUAAUGACCUUUAGUUCCCGACAUGCCAGCAGCACUGGGGACUGUUAUGAUUGCAAAUGUAAGAACCCACUUAAGAACCUACUCCUACAACAGUCUACACACCCUAUGCUGCCAGCUUUUAGAAGACAACCGAGGGGAACAAAGGACAAAAGGCUUCUGGGAAAGAAUUAAAAAACAGCCGUUUCUAUCUUAACAA